UACGGAGGGAGCUAGCGUUGUUCGGAUUUACUGGGCGUAAAGGGCGCGUAGGCGGCCACCGCAAGUCGACUGUGAAAUCUCCGGGCUUAACCCGGAAAGGUCAGCCGAUACUGCGGGGCUAGAGUGCAGAAGGGGCAACUGGAAUUCUCGGUGUAGCGGUGAAAUGCGUAGAUAUCGAGAGGAACACCUGCGGCGAAGGCGGGUUGCUGGGCUGACACUGACGCUGAGGCGCGAAAGCUAGGGGAGCGAACGGG
rnacentral:rRNA from 1 species